AACGAACGCUGGCGGCAGGCCUAACACAUGCAAGUCGAGCGAGGACUUCGGUCCUAGCGGCGGACGGGUGAGUAACGCGUGGGAACGUGCCCUUUGCUUCGGAAUAGCCCUGGGAAACUGGGAGUAAUACCGGAUGAGCCCUUUGGGGGAAAGAUUUAUCGGCGAAGGAUCGGCCCGCGUUGGAUUAGGUAGUUGGUGGGGUAAUGGCCUACCAAGCCGACGAUCCAUAGCUGGUUUGAGAGGAUGAUCAGCCACACUGGGACUGAGACACGGCCCAGACUCCUACGGGAGGCAGCAGUGGGGAAUCUUAGACAAUGGGGGAAACCCUGAUCUAGCCAGGCCGCGGGAGCGAUGAAGGCCUUAGGGUUGUAAAGCUCUUUCAGCUGGGAAGAUAAUGACGGUACCAGCAGAAGAAGCCCCGGCUAACUCCGU
rnacentral:rRNA from 1 species